CAACGAAUAUUCCGCAAUGGACGAAAGUCUGACGGAGCGACGCCGCGUGCAGGAAGAAGUCCCUCGGGAUGUAAACUGCUGUCAGGGGUUAGGAACACCGACCAGCCCCAAAGGAAGCACUGGCUAACUCCGUGCCAGCAGCCGCGGUAAUACGGAGAGUGCAAGCGUUGUUCGGAAUUACUGGGCUUAAAGGGCAUGUAGGCGGAAUGUCAAGUGUUGGGUGAAAGCCCCGGGCUCAACCCGGGAAUCGCCUAGCAAACUGGCGUUCUUGAGGCAGGUAGAGGUGACUGGAACAACUGGUGGAGCGGUGAAAUGCGUAGAUAUCAGUUGGAACGCCGGUGGCGAAAGCGGGUCACUGGGCCUGUCCUGACGCUGAUAUGCGAAAGCGUGGGGAGCGAACGGGAUUAGAUACCCCCGUAGUCC
rnacentral:rRNA from 1 species